ensembl:rRNA 5S_rRNA 5S ribosomal RNA
CCAAGCAGCCCAAGACUGGUUGCCCACUGAAGCUAAGCAGGGCUGAGCCUGGUCAGUACCUGGAUGGGAGACCUCCUGAGAAUAUACUAGGUUGCUGUUGGAA